rnacentral:misc_RNA from 1 species
UCGCGGCUUAUCACCGGCAGUCCCCUUAGAGUGCCCAACUGAAUGAUGGCAACUAAGGGCGAGGGUUGCGCUCGUUGCGGGACUUAACCCAACAUCUCACGACACGAGCUGACGACAGCCAUGCAGCACCUGUGUUCCCGCCAGCCGAACUGAAGAGCUACAUCUCUGUUGCUCAUACGGGACAUGUCAAGCCUAGGUAAGGUUCUUCGCGUUGCGUCGAAUUAAACCACAUGCUCCGCUGCUUGUGCGGGUCCCCGUCAAUUCCUUUGAGUUUUAGCCUUGCGGCCGUACUCCCCAGGCGGGAUGCUUAAUGCGUUAGCUGCGCCACUGAACAGCAAGCUGUCCAACGGCUAGCAUCCAUCGUUUACGGCGUGGACUAC